GACGAACGCUGGCGGCGUGCUUAACACAUGCAAGUCGAACGCUGAAGCUCAGCUUUUGUUGGGUGGAUGAGUGGCGAACGGGUGAGUAACACGUGAGUAACCUGCCUCCUUCUUUGGGAUAACGCCCGGAAACGGGUGCUAAUACUGGAUAUUCACUGGUCUUCGCAUGGGGGUUGGUGGAAAGGGUUUUUCUGGUGGGGGAUGGGCUCGCGGCCUAUCAGCUUGUUGGUGGGGUGAUGGCCUACCAAGGCUUUGACGGGUAGCCGGCCUGAGAGGGUGACCGGUCACAUUGGGAGUGAGAUACGGCCCGGACUCCUACGGGAGGCAGCAGUGGGGAAUAUUGCACAAUGGGGGCAAGCCUGAUGCAGCGACGCCGCGUGAGGGAUGGAGGCCUUCGGGUUGUGAACCUCUUUCGCUCAUGGUCAAGCCGCAACAAUGGUUGUGGUGAGGGUAGUGGGUAAAGAAGCGCCGGCUAACUACGUG
rnacentral:rRNA from 1 species